rnacentral:rRNA from 1 species
CCCUUAGAUGUUCUGGGCCGCACGCGCGCUACAAUGGCAAACUCAGCGAGUCUCCUUUACCGACAGGUAUAGGAAAUCUUUUCAGUGUUUGCCGUGAUGGGGCUAGACCCUUGUAAUUAUUGGUCUCCAACGAGGAAUUCCUAGUAAACGCAGGUCAUUAACCUGCAUUGAUUGCGUCCCUGCCCUUUGUACACACCGCCCGUCGCACCUACCGAUUGAAUGGUCCGGUGAAGUCUCCGGACUGAGUACUUUUAGUACUUGGGAAGUUGACUAAACCUUACUAUUUAGAGGAAGGUGAAGUCGUAACA